rnacentral:rRNA from 1 species
GACGAACGCUGGCGGCGUGCUUAACACAUGCAAGUCGAGCGGUAAGGCCCUUUCGGGGGUACACGAGCGGCGAACGGGUGAGUAACACGUGGGUGACCUGCCCUUAGCUCUGGGAUAAGCCUGGGAAACUGGGUCUAAUACCGGAUAUGACUCCAUGACGCAUGUUGUGGGGUGGAAAGCCUUGUGCGGCUAGGGGAUGGGCCCGCGGCCUAUCAGCUUUGUUGGGUGGGGUGANGGCCUACCAAGGCGACGACGGGUAGCCGGCCUGAG